rnacentral:rRNA from 1 species
AGAGUUUGAUCAUGGCUCAGGACGAACGCUGGCGGCGUGCCUAAUACAUGCAAGUCGAGCGGACCUCUUCGGAGGUCAGCGGCGGACGGGUGAGUAACACGUGGGCAACCUGCCUGUAAGACUGGGAUAACUCCGGGAAACCGGAGCUAAUACCGGAUACUAUGUCAAACCGCAUGGUUUGACAUUCAAAGACGGUUUCGGCUGUCACUUACAGAUGGGCCCGCGGCGCAUUAGCUAGUUGGUGAGGUAAUGGCUCACCAAGGCAACGAUGCGUAGCCGACCUGAGAGGGUGAUCGGCCACACUGGGACUGAGACACGGCCCAGACUCCUACGGGAGGCAGCAGUAGGGAAUCUUCCGCAAUGGACGAAAGUCUGACGGAGCAACGCCGCGUGAGUGAUGAAGGUUUUCGGAUCGUAAAACUCUGUUGUCAGGGAAGAACAAGUGCCGGAGUAACUGCCGGCGCCUUGACGGUACCUGACCAGAAAGCCACGGCUAACUACGUGCCAGCAGCCGCGGUAAUAC